AAACCAACCGGGAUUGCCUUAGUAACGGCGAGUGAAGCGGCAAAAGCUCAAAUUUGAAAUCUGGUACCUUCGGUGCCCGAGUUGUAAUUUGGAGAGGGCAACUUUGGGGCCGUUCCUUGUCUAUGUUCCUUGGAACAGGACGUCAUAGAGGGUGAGAAUCCCGUGUGGCGAGGAGUGCGGUUCUUUGUAAAGUGCCUUCGAAGAGUCGAGUUGUUUGGGAAUGCAGCUCUAAGUGGGUGGUAAAUUCCAUCUAAAGCUAUAUAUUGGCGAGAGACCGAUAGCGAACAAGUACAGUGAUGGAAAGAUGAAAAGAACUUUGAAAAGAGAGUGAAAAAGUACGUGAAAUUGUUGAAAGGGAAGGGCAUUUGAUCAGACAUGGUGUUUUGUGCCCUCUGCUCCUUGUGGGUAGGGGAAUCUCGCAUUUCACUGGGCCAGCAUCAGUUUUGGUGGCAGGAUGAAUCCAUAGGAAUGUAGCUUGCCUCGGUAAGUAUUAUAGCCUGUGGGAAUACUGCCAGCUGGGACUGAGGACUGCGACGUAAGUCAAGGAUGCUGGCAUAAUGGUUAUAUGCCGC
rnacentral:rRNA from 1 species